GUAGGUGGCGAGCGUUGUCCGGAAUUAUUGGGGCGUAAAGCGCGCGCAGGCGGUUCUUUAAGUCUGAUGUGAAAGCCCACGGGCUCAACCGUGGAGGGUCAUUGGAAACUGGAGAACUUGAGUACAGAAGAGGAAAGCGGAAUUCCACGUGUAGCGGUGAAAUGCGUAGAGAUGUGGAGGAACACCAGUGGCGAAGGCGGCUUUCUGGUCUGUAACAGACGCUGAGGCGCGAAAGCGUGGGGAGCAAACAGGAUUAGAUACCCUGGUAGUCCACGCCGUAAACGAUGAGUGCUAAGUGUUAGGGGGUUUCCGCCCCUUAGUGCUGCAGCUAACGCAUUAAGCACUCCGCCUGGGGAGUACGGCCGCAAAGGCUG
rnacentral:rRNA from 1 species